rnacentral:tRNA from 3 species
CGGGGUGUGGCGCAGCCUGGUAGCGCAUCUGCUUUGGGAGCAGAGGGUCGUGAGUUCGAAUCCCACCGCCCCGACCA